rnacentral:rRNA from 1 species
CCUACGGGAGGCAGCAGUGAGGAAUAUUGGUCAAUGGCCGUAAGGCUGAACCAGCCAAGUCGCGUGAAGGAAGAAGGAUCUAUGGUUUGUAAACUUCUUUUAUAGGGGAAUAAAGGUAUCCACGUGUGGAUAUUUGCAUGUACCCUAUGAAUAAGCAUCGGCUAACUCCGUGCCAGCAGCCGCGGUAAUACGGAGGAUGCGAGCGUUAUCCGGAUUUAUUGGGUUUAAAGGGUGCGUAGGUUGUUUUUUAAGUCAGCGGUGAAAGUUUGUGGCUCAACCAUAAAAUUGCCGUUGAAACUGGAAGACGUGAGUGUGUUUGAGGUAGGCGGAAUGCGUGGUGUAGCGGUGAAAUGCAUAGAGAUCACGCAGAACUCCGAUUGCGAAGGCAGCUUACUAAGCCAUAACUGACACUGAAGCACGAAAGCGUGGGGAUCAAACAGGAUUAGAUACCCUUGUAGUC